AUAUAGCCAUCAGCAGAUGACUUCACUGAGAUCCCGCAGUCAUUCUCCUCUCAAAUUCGCAACGAGGAAACCAACUUGGCAGAUUUCUCCAACGUGGAUCCCAGCUGGAGUUGGCAGGAGUAAGGCAAUGGUUCUAAUAUGGGAAAACAACAAUACUGCCUGGACAUAGCAACAACCUGGGCCAAUUGACAUCAUACCCUCUAUGGCAAGCUGCACGUCUCAACAACUCAUCCACCUGCGUCUGCCAUCAAUGUCGCCACCGCACGGGAUCCCUGGCUUUGACUUGGAGAAGAGAAAAAGAAAGAAAGGAAGAGUUAACAUCGGAAAGAAGGGCGGGUUAUUACCACUCAGCAGUCGCUGAGCUCCGUAAUGGUAAGUAGUGGUAAGUAUACCCCCUGGAGCCUGAUUAUUUAGGGUUUUUUGUUACCACCUUACCAGUAUAUGUGUGUGUUUAUGUGCGUGUGUUUAUGUGUGUGUCCAUGUGUCCGUGUGUGUCCGUGUGUGUGUCCGUGUGUGUGUGUAUGUGCAUCAGUUGAAUUAGCUAUUUGCAAUGCUCACCCAUUCUUUGAACAGGAGAACACUGAAUUCCCUUUUGGAAUCUGCAAGCAUUUCUGUAUUGGAAAUGACCUGUUCUCCCUUUCAAGGAAUCAGUCACUAGUAUCAGGUUAUUUUUAUAACCUGGUGCUUCAUUAAUGGCAUGCCAAUACGGGAGCAAUGGAAUUGAACCUGUACACUCCCUAUGUGGCAUUGUAUUUCCUUUACAAGGCUACUGUCGAUCCAGGGACAUGUCCGAUUGCCAUUUUGGAGUCAGGAAGGAAUUUUUUCCCCUUCUGAGGCAGAUUGGAGACCGCCUCAGAAGGGGUUUUUUUGCCUUCCUCUGGAUCAUCUAAAUUUAUUUAAUUGCAAAUAAUUGGCCUUUAAAAAAUAAAUAUAACUAAAAGACAAACCCCCCGAAACGGAAAAGGCAUGCCAAAAGCUAAAUUUAAAUAGGGAUGUCCAAGCUUGACUUUUAUUAACCAGUAGUUAGAGGGGAGCAGGGUUCUUGGGGAGGCUACUAAAGGAAGAACUUAUUUAUGACUGUAUAGUACACUUCCUUUUGGGUUAUGUUAAACCUCCCUUUAUCUUCUUUAUUAUCAUCACCACCUGUGUAUAGGAGAGGACGAAAGGAUAAAAAUCAACUGCAGUCAAGUACAGCAAUAAUUGUAGCAUGUGUGAUAUUCUGUGUAGGAAUGUUGUAUGGUUGUGUGAGACGUGUGUGUGAAUGUGAAUAUUGUUUUUUUGUUAUAUCAAGUCCAAAACACCCAGGUCCAUAUUUUAAAUAAAUUGCAGGUCAGCUCAGGUAUUAGGGGGGGGGGAAGGUACAGACUGGGCAGAGGUGUAUGACCCAAAAUGCCAACUAGGAACAACCCUAUUCUUCCCAUAGUUUUAGUCAUAUGUGGUCAGCUAAAUAGGUCCAUCAUGAUUCCUGCAUGAGUAUAUAUAUCAUCUAAAACUAAAAAUCUAAUCUUUAAAUUAAAUCUAAAUAGCCAGUGUGUGAUUAAAAGCCAUUUAUGUGUGUGUAUGACUAGUCAGAUACCUCUCAGUAUUUGCUGAAGAGGAAAGGUCCCAUGACAGUUUAUAUCACUCCAUGCGGGACCAGAGAGGGAACUAUUGCAGCAAGUGAUAGGGUGAGCCGUUUGCUGCAAUAGAUGUGUGAAUGGACA